rnacentral:tRNA from 1 species
GGGAUUGUAGCUCAGUGGUAGAGCACUUGCCUGGCAUGUGUGGGGGCUUGGGUUCAAUUCUCAGCACCA